UACGGGGGGAGCAAGCGUUGUUCGGAUUUACUGGGCGUAAAGGGCGCGUAGGCGGCGUAACAAGUCACUUGUGAAAUCUCCGGGCUUAACUCGGAGCGGUCAAGUGAUACUGUUGUGCUAGAGUGCGGAAGGGGCUACUGGAAUUCUCGGUGUAGCGGUGAAAUGCGUAGAUAUCUGGAGGAACACCGGUGGCGAAGGCGGCAUCCUGGACCAACACUGACACUGAGGAGCGAAAGCCAGGGGAGCAAACGGG
rnacentral:rRNA from 1 species